rnacentral:rRNA from 1 species
GACGAACGCUGGCGGCGCGCCUAACACAUGCAAGUCGAACGGAGCUGAGAGAAGCUUGCUUUUCUUAGCUUAGUGGCGAACGGGUGAGUAACGCGUGAGUAACCUGCCCUGGAGUGGGGGACAACAGUUGGAAACGACUGCUAAUACCGCAUAAGCCCACGAUCCGGCAUCGGAUUGAGGGAAAAGGAUUUAUUCGCUUCAGGAUGGACUCGCGUCCAAUUAGCUAGUUGGUGAGGUAACGGCCCACCAAGGCGACGAUUGGUAGCCGGACUGAGAGGUUGGACCGCCACCUUGGGGAUGGGACACGGCCCAGAAUCCUACGGGAGGGAGCAGUGGGGGAUAAUGCACAAUGGGGGAAACCCUGAUGCAGCGACGCCGCGUGGAGGAAGAAGGUUUUCGGAUUGUAAACUCCUGUCGUUAGGGACGAUAAUGACGGUACCUAACAAGAAAGCACCGGCUAACUACGUG